GACGAACGCUGGCGGCGCGCUUAACACAUGCAAGUCGAGCGAGAACCAGCCCUUCGGGGCUGGGGAAAGCGGCGAACGGGUGAGUAACACGUGGGUAAUCUGCCCUCGGCACCGGAAUAGCCCGGGGAAACCCGGAUUAAUGCCGGAUGGCCUCUCCGCCCUUCGGGGCGGCGAGAAAAGGUAGCUUCGGCCUCCGGCCGAGGAGGAGCCCGCGGCCGAUUAGCUUGUUGGUGAGGUAACGGCUCACCAAGGCGACGAUCGGUAGCUGGUCUGAGAGGACGAUCAGCCACACUGGGACUGAGACACGGCCCAGACUCCUACGGGAGGCAGCAGUGGGGAAUCUUGCGCAAUGGGCGAAAGCCUGACGCAGCGACGCCGCGUGCGGGAAGAAGGCCUUCGGGUUGUAAACCGCUUUCAGGAGGGACGAAGCCACUCGGGUUAAUAGCCUAGAGGGUGACGGUACCUCCAGAAGAAGCCCCGGCUAACUACGUGCCAGCAGCCGCAGUAACAC
rnacentral:rRNA from 1 species